UCUAAUCGUACUCUCGCAUUUUUCUUAGGAUGUUAAAAAACACCCAUCUCUGCCUCUAGAUCAACCUUUACCUUUUUGGUUUCUUAGCCAGAGGUGGGUCUUGCAGUAUAAAGCAGAGGAGGGCUUUGUGUUGUCACAGUGGGACUUUUAUCACUUUCCAAGACAACUCUCCUCCACCUGCAUUACAUUCUGGGUCCUUUGACUUUUUAAAAUCUACAACCUCUACUUGCAUCACACUCAACUGGGUUAUCUCAGAGUAUUCAUAAGCUCGUGUAAUGGACCCACCCUCUAAGUUACAGGCAGAGCAUCAGCAUGGAAAGAGGCGGUUGGAGCCAUGUUAGCCCACGUGCUGAGCUCUGUUGCAUCUGGGUUAUUCUUUCUAUCCUCGGGGAUUCCAAGAGGUGAAUUAUUUUAGAAUAAUGUCCAGCCCAUAGAGGCAUGUGACCACAUUCAAAGAGAGUGGAUGAAGGUCACUGGAGUUCAAGGUACAUUUUCCACUUUUGGUGGUGUUAGAAUGAGUACGAGAAAAAUAGAACCAGAGAGGCACAGGCCGUGAAGCCGAAUGGAAGUCUCUGAACUUGAGGACUCCCUCCCACGCUCCUUGCUUCCCCUUCCCUAACUUGCCUCAGCAGAUCCAGUGGCUUAUAUUCCACCGAACAUAAUCUGGACAGUGAGAAGUUUUGGGAGAAUUAACUUUGUGUUAGUGGAUAUGUUUUUAUGCUUCAAUCGGCAAACAAUACAUGGGGAGGGAAUCUCUUCAAAAUGAAUUCUGAGUCAUACAGGAUGGGCUUGAGAUGAUUUGUAAAGCUGUGGCUUCUAUCAAAUGGAUGCAGUUUCCUCCCAGAACUUUCCCAGUGUUCUCCUGUAUUUGUAACUUCUCAUAGUUCUUACCCUAAAACUGGUAAGCACGUAAUUUAAAGAAAGAAAGGGGCAAGGAAGGAAGGGAGGGAUGGAAGGAAGGAAGGAAGAAUUGGUGAUGUUUGAAAGCCCUCUCUUGGCAAUUAUGUUUAAAUUAAUGUUUGUAUCUUUUGUUCUGCAAGUAGAACAGUAGGUGGGUAAGAAGCGACAUCAUUUCUUUUUUUUUUUUUUUGAGACGGAGUCUUGCUCUGUUGCCCAGGCUGGAGUGCAGUGGCGCAAUCUCGGCUCACUGCAAGCUCCGCCUGCUGGGUUCACGCCAUUCUCCUGCCUCAGCCUCCUGAGUAGCUGGGACUACAGGCGCCCGCCACCAGGCCAGCUAAUUUUUUGUAUUUUUACUAGAGACGGGGUUUCACUGUGUUAGCCAGGAUGGUCUCGAUCUCCUGACCUCGUGAUCCGCCCGUCUCGGCCUUCCAAAGUGCUGGGAUUACAGGCAUGAGCCACCGCGCCUGGCCAAAGCGACACCAUUUUUAUUCACUUUUAUUUGUUUAAAAAAGAUCAACUGGGCCUGGCAUAAUGGCUCAUACCUGUAAUCCCAGCACUUUGUGAGGCUGAGGCAGACAGAUUUCUUAAGCUCAAGAGUUUGAGACCAACCUGGGCAACAUGGUGAAACCCUGUCUCUACAAAAAAAUACUAAAAUUAGCCAGCAUGGUGGUACAUGCCUAUAGUCCCUGCUACUCAGGAGGCUGAGGUGGGAAGAUCACCUGAGCCUGGGGAGGUUGAGGCUGCAGUGAGCUGUGAUCCCUCCACUGCACUUCAGCCUGGGCAAUAGAGUGAAAGCCCAUCUCAAAAACAAAUAAAUAAAUAAAUAAAUAAAUAAAUAAAUAAAUAAAAAUAAAAAUAAAGAUCAACCAGGCCAGGUGCGGUGGCUCACACCCGUAAUCCCAGAACUUUGGGAGGCCGAGGCAGGUGGAUCACGAGGUUGGGAGAUCGAGAUCAUCCUGGCUAACAUGGUGAAACCCCGUCUCUACCAAAAAUACAAAACAUUAGCCGGGCGUGGUGGCAGGCGCCUGUAAUCCCAGCUACUUGGGAGGCUGAGGCAGGAGAAUGGUGUGAACCUGGGAGGUAGAGCUUGCAGUGAGCCGAGUUCAUGCUACUGCACUCCAGCCUGGGCGACAGAGCGAGACUCUGUCUCAAAAAUAAAUAAAUAAAUAAAUAAAUAAAUAAAUAAAUAUCAACCAAAGGGAAGGUUGUUUAUUUAUUUAUUUUUUUGACGAAGUCUCCCUCCGUCACCAGGCUGGAGUGCAGUGGUGCAAUCUUGGCUCACUGCAACCUCUACCUCCUGGAUUCAAGCAAUUCCCCUGCCUCAGCCUCUGGAGUAGCUGGGACUACAGGUGUCCACCACCAUGCCCAGCUAAUUUUCUGAUUUUUAGUAGAGACGGGGUUUCACCAUGUUAUCCGGGAUGGUCUCAAUCUCUUGACCUCGUGAUCUGCCCACCUUGUCCUCCCAAAGUGUUAGAAUUACAGGCAUGAGCCAGUGCACCCAGUGGGAAGGAUUUUUAAGUAUAUAGAGUGGAGGAGACUUUUGUAGGUGAUUUAUACAUGAUCUAAUGGCACUCCAAGCAGGAUCUGACCCCAUGGCUCCAGGAAAAACUUUUAAAUGGUGGAAGUAGAGUUAGGAAAAAGAGUUUCUGCUAGAAGGCCACAAAGCAUUAUACUUUAUUGAUUAGGAUGUGCUAGUGGGUGCAUAUAAAUGUUUAUGGAAGCAGACACAUCCAGCCCCUAAGAGCUCCUGAAGGCUCUUGAAGGCCGCUAUCAUGCAGUGUCCUCUUUUGGAGACAGCAGGCCUGCUGAGUAAGCUCACAAAAACUUGGGAACUCAAUGUGUACCCAAAGAAAAUGACUGCUAAAUGGGAGCUUGCCGCUGAAGAAGCAAUCUCUGGCUGCAUGCGUGGCUGCAAAGAUGUAAAUUAGCCCCCGCCUGGGGCCUCCAAGAAAUCAGGUCAGGACCAGAAGUCAUCAAAAGGCUGGUCUGAAAGACACAUAAUGAACUUGCCUUUUCCUAGGGAGAUAGUACCUUUUUAUUAGAUUUUUUCUCAAGAUAUGCAAAAUAGAUGGGUUUUCCUGGAGCCCCCAAUCACUUCCUAUCAAGGCAAGGCAGGAAGAAACAAAGCAUGCUGGGUGGUUACCAGAGGUUGUAGGUGGAGACAAUGCAUGAAGAUUUGAGCAGAAGCAAAAUACUUGCAUUCGGCCCGGCUUGGUGGCUCAUGCCUGUAAUCCCAGCACGUUGGGAGGCUGAGGGCGGGCAGAUCCCCUGGGGUCAGGAGUUUGAGACCAGCCUGGCCAACAUGGUGAGACCCUCCCUCUACUAAAAAAUACCCAAAAAAAAAAAAAUUUAGCCCACUGUGGUAGCGGGCACCUGUAGUCCCAGCUACUCAGGAGGCUGAGGCGGAGAAUUGCUUGAACCCAGGAGGCAGAGGUUGCAGUGCCAAGAUUGCGCCACCGCCCUCCAGCCUGGAGGACAGAGCAAUACCCUGUGGAAAAAAAAAAAAAAAAAAAGCAUGCCUUCUGUGGCCUCAGUUGGAAUGCUGCCUUUCCAACUUGGUAGCUGUGUGACUUUGGGCAAGUUACAUAACUCUUCUGAGUUUCAGUGUCUUCACCUGUAAAAUAUAGGCAGUAAUACUAUGGACCUCACAGACCUGUUAUAGAGAUGAAUUUUAAUUAUAACACAAACUAAUAUUUGCAUUUUGCUUAGGACAGGGUCUUGUACACUGCAAGCUAAAUAAGUGUUUAUUACGUAAGCUCUUUUUUUUUUUUUUUUUUGAGACGGUCUUGCACUGUCGCCCAGGCUGGAGUACGACCUUGGCGCGCUGCAAGCUCCGCCUCCCAGGUUCACACCAUUCUCCUGCCUCAGCCUCCCGAGUAGCUGGGACUACAGGCACCCGCCACCAUGCCCAGCUAAUUUUUUGUACUUUUAAUAGAGAUGGGGUUUCACCAUGUUAGCCAGGAUGGUCUCCGUCUCCUGACCUCGUG
rnacentral:lncRNA from 1 species